GACGAACGCUGGCGGCGUGCCUAAUACAUGCAAGUCGAACGAACCGCGACUAGGUGCUUGCACUUGGUCAAGGUGAGUGGCGAACGGGUGAGUAACACGUGGGUAACCUACCUCAUAGUGGGGGAUAACAGUCGGAAACGACUGCUAAUACCGCAUAGGACAUAGGAUCACAUGAUCCAGUGAGGAAAGGUGGCGCAAGCUAUCGCUAAGAGAUGGACCCGCGGUGCAUUAGCUAGUUGGUAGGGUAAAGGCCUACCAAGGCGAUGAUGCAUAGCCGACCUGAGAGGGUGAUCGGCCACAUUGGAACUGAGACACGGCCCAAACUCCUACGGGAGGCAGCAGUAGGGAAUCUUCCGCAAUGGACGCAAGUCUGACGGAGCAACGCCGCGUGAGUGAAGAAGGUCUUCGGAUCGUAAAGCUCUGUUGUUAGAGAAGAACAGCGCAUAGAGUAACUGUUAUGCGUGUGACGGUAUCUAACCAGAAAGCCACGGCUAACUACGUG
rnacentral:rRNA from 1 species